rnacentral:rRNA from 1 species
AUUGAACGCUGGCGGCAUGCCUUACACAUGCAAGUCGAACGGCAGCAUGAUCUAGCUUGCUAGAUUGAUGGCGAGUGGCGAACGGGUGAGUAAUACAUCGGAACGUGCCCUGUAGUGGGGGAUAACUAGUCGAAAGAUUAGCUAAUACCGCAUACGACCUGAGGGUGAAAGUGGGGGACCGCAAGGCCUCAUGCUAUAGGAGCGGCCGAUGUCUGAUUAGCUAGUUGGUGAGGUAAAGGCUCACCAAGGCGACGAUCAGUAGCUGGUCUGAGAGGACGAUCAGCCACACUGGGACUGAGACACGGCCCAGACUCCUACGGGAGGCAGCAGUGGGGAAUUUUGGACAAUGGGGGCAACCCUGAUCCAGCAAUGCCGCGUGUGUGAAGAAGGCCUUCGGGUUGUAAAGCACUUUUGUCCGGAAAGAAAUCGCACUUACUAAUAUUAGGUGUGGAUGACGUA